GCCCGCUCAGAAACUCAAAGGAAUUGACGGGGCCCGCACAAGCGGUGGAGCAUGUGGUUUAAUUCGAUGAUACGCGAGGAACCUUACCUGGGCUCAAAUGUAUGUUGACGUAUUCUGAAAGGGAUACUUCUUCGGACAAUAUACAAGGUGCUGCAUGGUUGUCGUCAGCUCGUGCCGUGAGGUGUCGGGUUAAGUCCCAUAACGAGCGCAACCCCUACCUUUAGUUGCCAUCAGGUAAUGCUGGGGACUCUAAAGGAACUGCCUACGCAAGUAGUGAGGAAGGCGGGGAUGACGUCAAAUCAGCACGGCCCUUACGUCCAGGGCUACACACGUGCUACAAUGGCCGAUACAGAGGGCAGCUACCUGGUGACAGGAUGCAAAUCUCCAAAGUCGGUCUCAGUUCGGAUCGGAGUCUGCAACCCGACUCCGUGAAGUUGGAUUCGCUAGUAAUCGCGCAUCAGCCAUGGCGCGGUGAAUACGUUCCCGGGCCUU
rnacentral:rRNA from 1 species